AAUCAACGCUGGCGGCGUGCCUCAGACAUGCAAGUCGAACGAUUAAAGCUCCCUUCGGGGAGUGCAUAAAGUGGCGCACGGGUGAGUAACACGUAAGUAAUCUACCCUCGGGUGGGGAAUAACAUCGGGAAACCGAUGCUAAUACCGCAUAAUGCAGCGGCACCGCAAGGUGACAGUUGUUAAAGAUUUAUUGCCUGGGGAGGAGCUUGCGGCAGAUUAGCUUGUUGGUAAGGAACGGCUUACCAAGGCUACGAUCUGUAUCCGGUCUAAGAGGACGGUCGGACACACUGACACUGAAUAACGGGUCAGACUCCUACGGGAGGCAGCAGUCGGGAAUUUUGGGCAAUGGGGGAAACCCUGACCCAGCAACGCCGCGUGAAGGAUGAAGUAUUUCGGUAUGUAAACUUCGAAAGAAUAGGAAGAAUUAAUGACGGUACUAUUUAUAAGGUCCGGCUAACUACGU
rnacentral:rRNA from 1 species